rnacentral:rRNA from 1 species
UACGUAGGGGGCCAGCGUUGCUCGGAGUUACUGGGCGUAAAGGGUCCGUAGGCGGUGUAGCAAGUCGAUAGUGAAAUCUCUGGGCUUAACCCAGAGGCUGCUAACGAAACUGCUGUGCUAGAGUGUGAGAGAGGCGAGUGGAAUUACGGGUGGAGCGGUGAAAUGCGUAGAGAUCUGGAGGAACAUCCGAGGCGAAGGCGGCUCGCUGGAUCACAACUGACGCUGAGGGACGAAAGCGAGGGGAGCAAACAGG